rnacentral:lncRNA from 1 species
AAAAAAAAAAAAAUCUUCCAAGCCGCUUAUGGAAGGAGUUCCACUGCCAUUCCCACAUCGAGCAAAACAAGAAUGCUCAAGUCUUUGUAAAGCUUACGCGGGGGUCGCUGAAUCGCCGAGCCGGUUGACGUGGGCUUGUAACCCAAGUGGGGGCUGUGAAGUGGUUGGACGUUGUUACAAUCCAGAUGGCUGGAUUCGGAAUGGCUAUCUCCUGGCUCGCCCAUUCCAAGCCGGGAUCUGAACCAAGAGACUCGAUCGAAAGCUGGAGUUUCUCUUGGGUCCUAGAGUGGAGAGUACCGCGUGAGGCUGGUUUCACAGAGCAGCGACUAUCUCCCGCUUCCGGCAGUGGAAGGAUAACGAGUCGGUGUCACCCGGUUCCACAUAGCCAGAUGGAUUGUUCUAAUUGGACCACCACUUUUUUCUUUUUAAACUUUACUUUUUCUUAUAUUUUUCUUUUUUAUUUAAAAUUAUUUAGUUUUCCUAAAUGUGUGUUUGCUCGUUGUCUCUACUUGUAUAAUUUUUUUUUUAAAUAAUUACACAUUAUAUAAUAUAUUAUUAUGAAUUUUAUAUUACUAAAAUUUUAGGGGAUAAUUAAUAAUAUAAAUAUGAAUAAAUCAUAAAUAUAAGAUAAUUCUUUAAACACAUAUGUUUUUCAAAUAUAACAAAUUUUGCAUGAAUUAAAAUUUAUAUAUCUUACUAUUAAGUCAAAUUAAUAAUAUAAUUAUUAAUAUUAUUUUUAAAAAUGUGUUAGAUAGAUAAAUAAUGAAGUUAUUUUAAUAGUGCUUUAUAUACAUAUAUAUCAAAAUUGGAGUUUGUAAGUAAUAUAUAAGAUAAUUGCAAUAACAAAAAUUAUUAUCCAAUUUAAAAUUUAAAUAUUAUUAUUAAUAGUUAAAAUAAUUAAAAAAAUUUGAAAAGAUUUUAUUAUUCCUCCUUUCUCGUGCAUAUAGAUUUUUUUUUUUACUAUGCAAAGACUCCAUUAUAAGGUCAAACAAGCGGCAAAGAUUAAAAAAAUUGAGAUAAUUUCAAAAAAUUAAAAAGAAAAUAGUUGGAAGGUAAUAAAUUAGAUAGACAAAGUUUAACCGCUAAAUCAAUAAAACGAUUAACUAUAUGAGAAAUACAAGAAAAGAUGACGAACCUAAAGUAAGAUAAAAAUAAAGAAUAGCUAAAAUAGACAAACUAAUAGCUAGAGUAGAAAGGAAAGAUUGCAGAGUAAUAUACAUAAUAGAAAAAUCUCUCACAUAUAAUGGCUGAAUAAUCUGUACAAAAAGUCAUAAAAAUGUCUUAUAAAAUAGUUUGAGUCUCACCAAAAAUAAUAAAAAAAUACCAUAACUUGUUUAUAAAAUAAUAAAAAAAUGAUAAAGAUUAAAAAAGUUGAGACAAUUUUAAAAAGUUAGAAAGAAAACAACAAAUUACAUAGACAAAAUUUAGCAACUAAAUCAGCAAAAUAAUUAACCACACAAGAAACAUAAGAGAAGAUGAGAGAUGUAAAGCACUAUCGAAAAUAAAGAAUAGUCCAAAUAGACAAACUAAUAGCCCAGGGUAGAAAGGAAGGAUUGCCACAUAGAGCAAUAUAUAGAAUAGAAGAAUUUGUCUCACAUACAACGGCUGAAUAACCUCCAUAAAAAGUCCUGAAAAUACCUUCUAAAAUAUCUCGAGUCUCACCAGUAAUAAUAGAGGAACACCAUAAUUUUUUUAUAAAAUCAAAAAGUACAAUGUCCGUACAAUCAGACACAAUAACAACAAUAGCAGUUAAAGAAAACUGAUUUUUCUAAGCCACAUCACAAUUAAAUUUGACAAAAUGAGGGAAAGGAUGAUGCCAAACAAGACUAGAAGCCACACCAGAGUAACGGGCUAAAGGAGAGGAAUGAUCAGAAAACACCCCACUAAGUUGAAACUGAUGAAGGUCAAGAGACAUUUGGCGAGAGAUAAAAAAAUAAUCAUGUUGUAAAUUAUUGAAAACAAAACUAUUCCUAACCUUCUAAAUAUGCCAAAGUGUAAUAAUAACUACAGGUAGAAGAUAAGAACCUUGAGAAUGCAAAAGCAAGGAAGCCAACAAAUCCUUCCACCAUUGAGGAAAACUAGGAAAACCAAAAGCAUAAUGCUUAUAACGGAAAGACUGAGAAACCAAACUAUUUUUAAAAAAAUUACAAAAUAAAAGUAAGUGUUCCAUAGUCUUUGCCUGAGAGUAACAUACUGAACACGUAGAAGUAGGCACCGGGCGUCAAUUUACCAAAUUAGUUAGGAUAGACAGAGUACCAUGAACAUAAUUCCAGAGAAAAUUUUUUAAUUUUGAUAUAACCUGAAAGUCCAAAUACUUUUUCAAAAAUGGAUAGAAGAGGCGAAGAGGAGAUUGAAUAGUGUAAUAUGGUAUGAGCAAAAUCUUGACUCAUAAAAAGACGUCGGACUAUAUAUUGCCUAUUGGAUGUAUAAGCUAAACUCAGAAAUCGCAUGUAUAUAGAUAUAGGUAGUUAUACUCUUAUUUUAAAAAAUAUAAUCUUUUCAUUCUUUAUUUGAAUAUAGUUAAAAAUAAUUCAAAAACUACAUGUGUAUAUAUGUUUCAUAAUAUUUAAAAAAAAUAAAUUAAUUCAGUAAUUUCUUUCUAAAUUAUGCUUCAUAAAAUAUAAUUAAUUUUUACAUAAAAGUGGAUAUACUAAUAAUUUUUCUUUCCUUUAUAUUAAGUUAAAAUUUUAUUUGCAAUCCAAUUAAUAUAAAAUGAAAUUAUUAUUCUCAAAGUUUAUGCUUUUAUUUAAGUUUUACUUAUAAUUUUAUUUUUAUGUUAUGAAUCUAAUUUAUAUAAUAAAUAUUUUUUAAUUUAUUUUAUUAGAAAUUUAAUUUAUUUAAAAAUUAUAUAUAUAUAUAUUCCAAGCGAUGAUAUUUAAGAAUUAUCAAAAGUGAGUCAUGAACCGUCAUUAUAAAAUAGAAUUACGUGACAAAGGUCUGAUAAGCGGGUAUGCAGUCUCACUCAAAAAAAGGAAGACUCGAAUAUCUUAACACUCGUUCAUCAUCAAGACUCGUCUUCCCUUAAAUAGGUCGAGUCUCGACAUAAAAUUAUCAUUAUCAGGUACAAUCUAGCAGAGUACCGUUACUCCAGUAAUCACGGAAUGUACGACUAGUUAAUCCGGUGGAAUCACUCAUUAAUUAGCCGAUCACAUCAUCGUCAGAUUAUCAGAAAAUACUAUAUUUAUCUUGAUAUUCUUAUAUUAUAAAAGCAAAAUGAUCAUAGAGGCAAAGAUAUACUAGUCUUACAGUGCUCAAAUUCUAAAUAAUUCUUUACAUUCGUCAUAUUCUCGAGUUUAUUAACUUGAGCGUUAAAGUAGACUGUUGUGAACACCCACCACUAUAGGUUUUUUUUUUUACAGAAUUAGCGAAUCACCGUACAUGGAGUCGAGAAAGGCGAUUUAUUGAAUAUCUUAUAAAAUAUUAUGGAUCAUGAACUCAAUCUUUUUAUUGUUUAAUUUUUUUUUUAAAAAAAAAUUUAAUUGGUUGUGAUUAAAUGUAUAUUAAAAAUUUUAGUAACGGGACAAUUUUAAUUUUAUUAAAUUAAACUAUUUAUUGAAUUUUAAUUUUUAAUAAUUUAUUAUUGAUUUCAUAAAUUAUAAUUUAAAGAUAAUCAAUCACUUAUUUGACAAUAAAAAUAAAUAUAAUUUCAUUAAAAAUACGUCAAAAAUUAAAACCAUAAAAUAAUUAUUACUUUAUAUAAAAAUGUUUAUUUCAGCUGACAAUAAAUUUUUUCAAUCAAUAAAAUGUUGUUCUGUUUAAUGCAUUUUAAAAUUAAAACUUGCGAAUGGGACAAAAAAAAAAAAUCUUCCAAGCCGCUCAUGGAAGGAGUUCCACUGCCAUUCCCACAUCGAGCAAAACAAGAAUGCUCAAGUCUUUGGAAAGCUUACGCGAGGGCCGCUGAAUAGCCGAGCCAUUUGACGUGGGCUUGUAACCCAAGUGGGGGCUAUGAAGCGGUGGGACGUUGUUCUAAUCCAGAUGGCUGGAUUCGGCUGGAGUUUCUUGGGUCCUAGAGUGGAGGGUACCGCGUGAGGCUGCAGUGGAAGGAUAACGAGUCGGUGUCACCCGAUUUCACAGAGCCACAUUGGACUGUUCUAAUUGGACCAUCCCUUUUUUCUUUAAAAACUAUACUUUUUUUUAUAUUUUCCUCCUUUAUUUAAGAUAAUUUUUUAAACACAAAUGUUUUUCAAAUAUAACAAAUUUUGUAUGAAUUAAAAUUUAUAUAUCUUACUAUUAAAUCAAAUUAAUAAUAUAAAUUACAAAUAUUAUUUUUAAAAAUGUCUUAGAUAAAUAAUGAAGUUAUUUCAAUAGUCCUUUAUAUAUAUGUAUAUAUAUCAAAAUUGGAGUUUGCAAGUAAUAUAUAAGAUAAUUGCAAUAACAAAAAUUAUUAUCCAAUUUAAAAUUUAAAUAUUAUUAUUAAUAGUUAAAAUAAUUAAAAAAAUUUGAAAAGAUUUUAUUAUUCCUCCUUUCUCAUGCAUAUAGAUUAUAGAUAUAGAUAUUCUUUUUUAUCAUGCAAACACUACAUUAUAAGGUCAACAAAACAAUAAAGAUUAAAAAAGUUGAGACAAUUUUAAAAAGUUAGAAAACAACAAAUUAGAUAGAUAAAAUUUAGCAGCUAAAUCAGCAAAAUGAUUAACCACACAAGAAACAUAAGAGAAGAUGAGAGAUGUAAAGCACUAUCGAAAAUAAAGAAUAGUCCAAAUAGACAAACUAAUAGCCUAGGGUAGAAAGGAAGGAUUGCCACAUAGAGCAAUAUACAGAAUAGAAGAAUUUGUCUCACAUGCAACAGCUAAAUAACCUGCACAGAAAGUCCUGAAAAUACCUUCUAAAAUAGCUCGAGUCUCACCAGUAAUAAUAGAGGAACACCAUAACUUUUUUAUAAAAUCAAAAAGUAGAAUGCCCGUAUAAUCAGACGCAAUAACAACAAUAGCAGCCAAAGAAAAUUGAUCUUUCUAAGCCACAUCACAAUUGAAUUUGACAAAAUGAGGGAAAGGAUGAUGCCAAACAAGACUAGAAGCCACACUAGAGUAACGAGCUAAAGGAGAGGAAUGAUCAGAAAACACUCCACUAAGUUAAAACUGAUGAAGGUCAAGAGACAUUUGGCGAGAGAUAAAGAAAUGAUCAUGUUGUAAAUUAUUUAAAACAAAACUAUUCCUAGCCUUCUAAAUAUGCCAAAGCGUAAUAAUAACUAUAGGUAGAAGAUAAGAAUCUUGAGAAUGUGAAAGCGAGGAAGCCAACAAAUCCUUCCACCAUUGAGGAAAUUAGGAAAACCAAAAGUAUAAUGCUUAUAACCGGAAAGACUGAGAAACCAAACUAUUUCUAAAAAAAGUACAAAAUAAAAGUAAGCGUUCCAUAGUCUUUGCCUGAGAGUGACAUACCGAAUAAGUAGAAGUAGGCACCGGACGUCAAUUUACCAAAUUAGUUAGGAGAGGCAGAACACCAUGAACACAAUUUCAGAGAAAAUUUUUUAAUUUUGAUAUAACUUAAACAAUUCAAAUACUUUUUCAAAAGUGGAUAGAAGAGGCAAAGAGGAGAUUGAAUAGUGUAAUAUGGCAUAAGCAGAAUCUUGACUGAUAAGAAGACGUCGGACUAUAUAUUGCCUAUUGAAUGUAUAAGCUAAACUCAGAAAUCGCAUAUAUAUAGAUAUAGAUAGUUACUUUUAUUUCAAAAAAUAUAAUCUUUUCAUUCUUUAUUUGAAUAUAGUUAAAAAUAAUUAAAAAACUACUUGUAUAUAUAUGUUUCAUAAUAUUUAAAAAAAAUAAAUUAAUUCAGUAAUUUCUUUCUAAAUUAUGCUUCAUAAAAUAUAAUUAAUUUUUACAUAAAAGUGGAUAUACUAAUAAUUUUUCUUUCCAUUAUAUUAAGUUAAAAUUUUAUUUGCAAUCCGAUUAAUAUAAAAUGAAAUUAUUAUUCUCAAAGUUUAUGCUUUUAUUUAAGUUUUACUUGUAAUUUUUAUUUUACGUUAUGAAUCUAAUUAAUAUAAUAAAUAUUUUUUAAUUUAUUUUAUUAAAAAUUUAAUUUAUCUAAAAAUUAUAUAUAUAUAUUUAAAAUUUUAUGAAAGGAUGGUAUUCAAGAAUUAUUCUAAGAUAGUAAUGAAUAGUCACCACACAAUAGAAUUAUGUGACAAAAGUUUGAUAAGCAAGUAUGCAGUCUCAUUCAAGAAAAGAAAAAUCUGAAUACAUUAACAUCCGGUUCAUUUGAUUCAAAAAAAAAAAAACAUCUGAUUCAUCAUUAAGACUCGCCCUUUUUUGAAUAGAUCGAGUCUCGACAUAAAAUUAUCAUUAUUAGACACAAUCCAGCAGACUACCAUUACGCUUGUAAUCACGGGAUCCACAACCAGUUAACCCGGCAGAAUCACUUAUUAAUUAGUCUAUCACAUUAUCGCUGGAUUAUUAAGAAAUACUAUAUUUAUCUUAGUUUUUUUAUAUUACAAAAGUUAAAUGAUUAUAGAGGCAAAGAUAUGCUAGUCUUACACUACACAAGUUUUAAAUAAUUUUUUAUAUUUGUCAUAUUUUUUGAUUUACUAAUUUGAGUAUUAGAGUGGACUGUUGUGGACAUCCACCACCACACGUUUUUUUUUCUCCUAUAAUUAGCCAAUCACAGCAUAUGCAGAAGAGAAAGGUGAUUUAUUGAAUAUCUUAUAAAAUAUCCUGAAAUCUUGCAAUAAAGUCAUUCAACUCAAUUUUUUUUAUUGUUUAAGUUUUUUUUUAAAUUAAUUGGUUGUGAUUAAAUGUAUAUUAAAAAUUUUAGUAGUAACGCGACAAUUUUAAUUUUAUUAAAUUAAACUAUUUAUUAAAUUUUACUUUUUAAUAAUUUAUUUUUGAUUUCAUAAAUUAUAAUUUAAAGAUAAUUAAUCACUUAUUUGACAAUAUAAAUAAAUAUAAUUUCAUUAAAAAUACGUCAAAAAUUAGAACCAUAAAAUAAUUAUUACUUCAUAUAAAAAUAUUUAUUUCAGCUGACAAGAAAAAUUUUCAAUCAAUAAAAUGUUAUUCUAUUUAAUGCAUUUUAGAAUUAAAAUUUGCCCAUUUCAAAAAAAAUUAAAAUUUGCGAACAUAUAAUAUAUGAAGCGUUGUGAUUCAAUCAUUUUCUUAAAAUGCUCACUCAAAUGGGACAAAAAAACAACAUCUUCCAAGCCGCUCAUGGAAGAAGUUCCACUGCCAUUCCCACAUCGAGCAAAACAAGAAUGCUCAAGUCGUUGUAAAGCUUACGCGAGGGACGCUGAAUCGCCGAGCCAGUUGACGUGGGCUUGUAACCCAAGUGGGGGCUAUGAAGUGGUGGGACGUUGUUCCAAUCCAGAUGGCUGGAUUCGGAAUGGCUAUCUUCUGGCUCGCCCAUUCCAAGCAGGGAGUUGAACCAAGAGACUCGAUCGAAAGCUGGAGUUUCUUGGGUCCUAGAGUGGAGAGUACCGCGUGAGGCUGGCUUCACAGAGCAGCGACCAUCUCCCGCUUCCGGCAGUGGAAGGAUAACGAGUCGGUGUCACUCGGUUCCACAUAGCCACAUGGACUGUUCUAAUUGGACCACCACUUUUUGUCUUUUUAAACUUGUACUUUUUAUAUAUUUUUCUCCUUUAUUUAAGAUUAAUUAGUUUUCCUAAACGUGUAUUUGCUCGUUGUCUCUACUCG